rnacentral:lncRNA from 1 species
UCACCUCCGACAGGGGUGAGGCCAGAGGCGUGGGAAAGCCAGAUGGGGUGGCGGAUGCCACGGUGCCAUGGCCUCCUUCAACCCUCAGGUGUGCAAGGAGGCAGGUGACCUGGGAUGUUCUGCAAAACAGGUCCUCACUACCCAAGGCGUGGUCCUCAGACAUCACCCGGGAGCUGGUUAUAAAUGGAGAGUCUCAGGCCCCGCCCUGGAGGCCCUGGUUCAGAACCUGCGUUUCAGCAAGAGCUCGAGUGAUUCAGGCAGGUCACUGCACUGCUAGAUUGCUGGUGAGACAGCAGCCACUGCUCCCAGGCCCGACAACAGGGGCAGCACCAAAGCUGGUCAGUGUUUCCUCCUUACAGUGUGAGGCAAACCGCAAGUCAUCGGCAUCACAGCAAAACAAAAACACACACACAACAGAAGAAACCACGCUGGUGAGGUCAGCAGGGGACAGGGAGACCCUCCCUGCGGGAGCCGCUGCUAGAGGGAAAGGCAGCGUUGGAUCGGAUGCCGGCCCCAGCCUGGGAGACGUGCUUCCUCUGCAGCCUGUGAUCAGGAGCGAAGUGUAGAGACCAGAAUCGUUCAGAGGCAGGGCUGGUCCCUGUUGAUUUAUGACUCAGGCAAACAGUCCAUUCAUCCGUCAGCGGCUCCACUUCUAUCCUCAGCUUACUGGAGGCAGAAGAAUGUCCCCUGGAAGUGGUCUGAGCUGCUUCCUGUGGUGGCCCCAUUCCUCCGGGUGGGGGAUCCUAUUUUUAGAGGGCCACCAUUGCCAUGAAGGUCCAGCCGGCUCAUCGGCACCGUGCGGCAUGGUGGGACGCAGUACUGAAAUUCGAGGGGGAGCUAGGCAUUCAUAGCUGUUUCUUACAAACAAGAAAGGCACUGAUUCUGAGGCUCCAUUUCCUCCUCUGUAGGUGGAAGAUAGAGGAGGCUAUACAGGGAGGCUCAGCUGUGCCUGACACACAACAGAGAUUCUCCAGGAACAGGACAUGAAUGAAUACAAAAUCAAAUAGGUGAUUUCCCUCUUCCUCCAGCAGACAAACCCAGAAUAGCAAAGAUCACUUCCAUGCGCGUCCGUGUGAGGAGACCACACAACAGGCUUUGUGUGAGCAAUAAAGCUGUUUAUUUCA